CCGGCCCCCGCCUCCCCACCCCGCCCACGGGGCCGGGGGCUGCAGUCUCACCCCUCCCGGACCAAUGCAAACGAAGCGCCUAGCCAGCAAACCAGCUCCCACUGCCCCUCCCUCCCCGCCAAGAGUGGCGGCUAGCGGACAGGGCCGGGGGAGGGGGGAGACCAAGGGGGUGCAGAUCCGGGCCCCCCAGCCUGCCGUGUGCGCCCGCAGAGUAGGUGUAAAACACCUGCUGAAGAAAAUAAGUGAUGAGGCUUAGAGGCUUGAAGGAAGUUCUCUGGACCCGGAGCCAGGCCAUCUGUAUUCUAAGCCCAAACUAGCUGUGCCACCUCAGGCUACUGCCUUAACCUCUCUGAGCCACAUCGCAGAUCUUUUGGUGGAUUCUGGGAACCGGCAAUUUUUGUGUUGGAGAGCAGCGACAAAGAAUGAAGGAAGGAAUCUGAUUAUUGAGUGCUUACGGUGUAACACACAGCCUCUCUCCAAGAUAAGAGAUGUUCCCAUUCUACUGCUGAAGAAAAUGAAAGACUUGCCCUACACCACACAGGUAAUGGUGGAUCCAGGAAUCUACCUGGGUGUGCCCCUUCGUAGUCAGUGGGUCCUGAACCCUCCUCAGUGUCUCCACACGAACUAGGAACUGGUUCUCAGUCUGCUGUGUUUAGAAAACAGGGUGCUGAGACAUCAUCCUGGAGGGGUCACUUUGAGAACAUGGGCUCUCAGAGUGCUCUCAGAACUCUGCCCCACAGUGCUCUGAGGAAAACAGAAGAUGCAUCAGCCCCAUUUUGCGGAUAGGAAGCCCGAGGCUCAGGGAACUUGAGUGAGUGGCCCAUGAUCCCACUAUGAGGAAGUGGCCAGAGACUCAUCUAGAUCCCAGUCCUGACUGCUACUGGGAGCUUUUUUCUGCAUAUCCUCUGGGCAGAAUAAUUGUGUAGUUGGCCUGUGAUGGUCUCCCAUUUUCAUCUAUGGCUGAACUUUUCAUCUUGCCUAUCUCUUAGGUUCUUUUGAUAUAAUUGAGAUGAAAUUCACAUAAAAUUAUCCAUUUUAAAGUGUCUAAUUCAGCAGGACUUAUUACAUUCAUAGUGUUGUACAAACAAGACUUCUUACCAAGUUCCAAGACACUUCUGUUACCCUAAAAGAAAAUUAUGUCUCCACUCCCCACUUCCUCCAGCCCCUGGCAACCCCCAGUCUCCAUUAUGUUCCUAUGGAUUUCCUUGUUCUAGAUAUUUAAUAUAAAUGGAAUCACACAAAAUUUGAUCUUUUGA
rnacentral:lncRNA from 1 species